rnacentral:rRNA from 1 species
CCACACCAAAAAAAUUAUCCACGUGAAUGUAUAUAUUGUAUGAAGUUUUCUUGAUUGAAAACUAAAAGUAUUUCAUGUAUGUGAAAUACUGAUUUGAUUUGAAUCCCUAUUUCUAUUUAAAUGUCUGACUUCACUAUAGUAUAUAGAAAUAUAUACUUGAAAUGUGUAUACAACUUUCAACAGUGGAUGUCUUGGCUCGCACAUCGAUGAAGAACGCUGCGAACUGCGAUACGUAAUGCGAAUUGCAGAAUUCAGUGAGUCAUCAAAAUUUUGAACGCAUAUUGCACUUUCGGGUUAGUCCUGGGAGUAUGUUUGUAUCAGUGUCCGUUCACAAAGAAUUGUUUCAUGUAUUUGAAACAGAAUAUGAAGUGUCUUGUUGAUGACAACAAGUCCUUUGAAAACAUACCUAACUACAAUGUUGUAUUGUAAAAUACAAACGGUAUAUGUCAUUGGAAUUUCAUAUAUUGUUUUGUAUGGACAUACUAGACAAUAGGAAUGAAAAUGAAUUGCGGUAGUUUUAUCUAUACUUUUGUAUGGGUGAACAAUAUAUUGCUUUUUGUAUUCAUGACUAUGUUUGGUUUGAAAAUACUUGACAAGAAAUUUUGUAUGGUAUAUAUAGAUGUAGUAUAGAAGUCAAAUUGGGAAAUCAACUCCAAUUUGGACCUGAUAUCAAACAAGAUACCCGCUGAACUAAG